rnacentral:misc_RNA from 1 species
UUACUUUGAAGCUUGGACUUGGAAGCUGCUGGCUUUGUUCAGCUCUUCUUAAAUACAUUAGCUGCUUGUCCGUGGGUUGGCUCAGAGUGUGAUAAUUAUCUGCACUUGGUGGCUGCCUGCAAGGAUGUGGCUUCUAAUCGUCUUCGGACAAUUUCUUAAGAUCUGACCUCAAAUCAGGUAGGACUACCCGCUGAACUUAA